CCAAUAGCGUAUAUUAAAGUUGUUGCAGUUAAAAAGCUCGUAGUUGAAUUUCGGGAUUGACGUGAUGGUCGUGCCUUAAGGGGUAUGAACUGUUGCUGUUGAUUUCUCACCUUCUGGAGAAACUUGAUGUCCUUAAUUGGGUGUCUUGCGGAUCCAGGACCUUUACCUUGAAAAAAUUAGAGUGUUUAAAGCAGGCAUUUUGCUCGAAUACAUUAGCAUGGAAUAAUAGAAUAGGACGGAAUGGUUCUAUUUUGUUGGUUUCUAGGAUCACCGUAAUGAUUAAUAGGGAUAGUUGGGGGCAUUAGUAUUCAAUUGUCAGAGGUGAAAUUCUUGGAUUUAUUGAAGACUAACUACUGCGAAAGCAUUUGCCAAGGAUGUUUUCAUUAAUCAAGAACGAAAGUUAGGGGAUCGAAGACGAUCAGAUACCGUCGUAGUCUUAACCAUAAACUAUGCCGACUAGGAAUCAGACGAUGUUAAUUUUUUAAUGACUCGUUUGGCACCUUACG
rnacentral:rRNA from 1 species